rnacentral:rRNA from 1 species
UUAUACCGCGAAACUGCGAAUGGCUCAUUAAAUCAGUUAUCGUUUAUUUGAUAGUACCUUACUACUUGGAUAACCGUGGUAAUUCUAGAGCUAAUACAUGCUGAAAACCCCGACUUCGGAAGGGAUGUAUUUAUUAGAUUAAAAACCAAUGCCCUUCGGGGCUCACUGGUGAUUCAUAAUAACUUCUCGAAUCGCACGGCCUUGCGCCGGCGAUGGUUCAUUCAAAUUUCUGCCCUAUCAACUUUCGACGGCUGGGUCUUGGCCAGCCAUGGUGACAACGGGUAACGGAGGGUUAGGGCUCGACCCCGGAGAAGGAGCCUGAGAAACGGCUACUACAUCCAAGGAAGGCAGCAGGCGCGCAAAUUACCCAAUCCCGACACGGGGAGGUAGUGACAAUAAAUACUGAUACAGGGCUCUUUUGGGUCUUGUAAUUGGAAUGAGUACAAUUUAAUUCCCUUAACGAGGAACAAUUGGAGGGCAAGUCUGGUGCCAGCAGCCGCGGUAAUUCCAGCUCCAAUAGCGUAUAUUAAAGUUGUUGCAGUUAAAAAGCUCGUAGUUGAACCUUGGGCCUGGCUGGCCGGUCCGCCUCACCGCGUGCACUGGUCCGGCCGGGUCUUUCCCUCUGGGGAGCCGCAUGCCCUUCACUGGGUGUGUCGGGGAACCAGGACUUUUACUUUGAAAAAAUUAGAGUGUUCAAAGCAGGCUUAUGCUCGGAUACAUUAGCAUGGAAUAAUAGAAUAGGACGUGCGGUUCUAUUUUGUUGGUUUCUAGGACCGCCGUAAUGAUUAAUAGGGACAGUCGGGGGCAUCAGUAUUCAGUUGUCAGAGGUGAAA